rnacentral:rRNA from 1 species
UGGCGGACGGGUGAGUAAUGUCUGGGAAACUGCCCGAUGAGGGGGAGUAACUACUGGAAACGGUAGCUAAUACCGCAUAAUGUCUACGGACCAAAGCGGGGGACCUCCGGGCCUCGCGCCAUCAGAUGAACCCAUAUGGGAUUAGCUUGUAGGUAAGGUAACGGCUUACCUAGGCGACGAUCCCUAGCUGGUCUGAGAGGAUGAUCAGCCACACUGGGACUGAGACACGGCCCAG